AACGAACGCUGGCGGCAGGCUUAACACAUGCAAGUCGAGCGCCCCGCAAGGGGAGCGGCAGACGGGUGAGUAACGCGUGGGAAUCUACCCUUUUCUACGGAAUAACGCAGGGAAACUUGUGCUAAUACCGUAUAAGCCCUUCGGGGGAAAGAUUUAUCGGGAAAGGAUGAGCCCGCGUUGGAUUAGCUAGUUGGUGGGGUAAAGGCCUACCAAGGCGACGAUCCAUAGCUGGUCUGAGAGGAUGAUCAGCCACAUUGGGACUGAGACACGGCCCAAACUCCUACGGGAGGCAGCAGUGGGGAAUAUUGGACAAUGGGCGCAAGCCUGAUCCAGCCAUGCCGCGUGAGUGAUGAAGGCCCUAGGGUUGUAAAGCUCUUUCACCGGUGAAGAUAAUGACGGUAACCGGAGAAGAAGCCCCGGCUAACUUCGUGCCAGCAGCCGCAGUAAAAC
rnacentral:rRNA from 1 species